rnacentral:misc_RNA from 1 species
GAUGAAGAACGUAGCGAAAUGCGAUAAGUAAUGUGAAUUGCAGAAUUCAGUGAAUCAUCGAAUCUUUGAACGCACAUUGCGCCCGCCAGUAUUCUGGCGGGCAUGCCUGUUCGAGCGUCAUUUCAACCCUCAGGCCCCGCCUGGCGUUGGGGAUCGGCGCGGCCCUCUCCGGGCUGCCGGCCCCGAAAACUAGUGGCGGUCUCGCUGUAGUCCUCCUCUGCGCAGUAGCAACGCUCGCACUGGAACUCGGCGCGGCCACGCCGUAAAACACCCCACUUCUGAAAGUUGACCUCGGAUCAGGUAGGACUACCCGCUGAACUUAAGCAUAUCAAUAAGCGGAGGA